AUUGAACGCUGGCGGCAGGCCUAACACAUGCAAGUCGAGCGGAUGAAGGGAGCUUGCUCCUGGAUUCAGCGGCGGACGGGUGAGUAAUGCCUAGGAAUCUGCCUGGUAGUGGGGGAUAACGUCCGGAAACGGGCGCUAAUACCGCAUACGUCCUGAGGGAGAAAGUGGGGGAUCUUCGGACCUCACGCUAUCAGAUGAGCCUAGGUCGGAUUAGCUAGUUGGUGGGGUAAAGGCCUACCAAGGCGACGAUCCGUAACUGGUCUGAGAGGAUGAUCAGUCACACUGGAACUGAGACACGGUCCAGACUCCUACGGGAGGCAGCAGUGGGGAAUAUUGGACAAAGGGCGAAAGCCUUAUCCAGCCAUGCCGCGUGUGUGAAGAAGGUCUUCGGAUUGUAAAGCACUUUAAGUUGGGAGGAAGGGCAGUAAGUUAAUACCUUGCUGUUUUGACGUUACCAACAGAAUAAGCACCGGCUAACUUCGUG
rnacentral:rRNA from 1 species